GACUGAACCAGGACUAAACCAGGUCUAAACCAGGACUGAACCAGGACUAAACCAGGACUAAACCAGGACUAAACCAGGACUGAACCAGGACUAAACCAGGUCUAAACCAGGACUAAACCAGGUCUAAACCAGGUCUAAACCAGGACUGAACCAGGACUAAACCAGGACUAAACCAGGACUGAACCAGGACUGAACCAGGACUAAACCAGGACUAAACCAGGACUAAACCAGGACUAAACCAGGUCUAAACCAGGUCUAAACCAGGACUAAACCAGGUCUAAACCAGGACUAAACCAGGACUAAACCAGGACUAAACCAGGACUAAACCAGGUCUAAACCAGGACUAAACCAGGACUAAACCAGGUCUAAACCAGGACUAAACCAGGACUAAACCAGGACUAAACCAGGUCUAAACCAGGUCUAAACCAGGUCUAAACCAGGUCUAAACCAGGACUAAACCAGGUCUAAACCAGGACUAAACCAGGACUAAACCAGGUCUAAAUCAGGACUAAACCAGGACUAAACCAGGUCUAAACCAGGACUAAACCAGGUC
ensembl:lncRNA